rnacentral:misc_RNA from 1 species
UUUCCGUAGGUGAACCUGCGGAAGGAUCAUUAGUGAAUCUGAAAUUAGAUCGCAUCCUUUUGUGAAGCCAAUGAUAUUUUGUUGGAUGGGGAUUGAACAUGUUGAUUCUUGCGCGAGUCGACCGCCCCAAAGAUCACCCAUCUUUUUUUAAACCCAAAUUCUUAAUUUAUCUGACUGAUUAUUUUUAACUCUAUAAUAUUGAAAAAAAUAACUUUCAACAACGGAUCUCUUGGUUCUG